rnacentral:rRNA from 1 species
UACGGGGGGGGCAAGCGUUGUUCGGAAUUACUGGGCGUAAAGGGCUCGUAGGCGGCCAACUAAGUCAGACGUGAAAUCCCUCGGCUUAACCUGGGAACUGCGUCUGAUACUGGAUGGCUUGAGUUUGGGAGAGGGAUGCGGAAUUCCAGGUGUAGCGGUGAAAUGCGUAGAUAUCUGGAGGAACACCGGUGGCGAAGGCGGCAUCCUGGACCAACACUGACACUGAGGAGCGAAAGCCAGGGGAGCAAACGGG